AAAUCCACUUUUCUGGCUGUAAUUCAACACAAUAACUCUGGAACAGAAGGGGAAGACAUUUGGUCGGAGACUGAGUUGGUGACACUAAUCUUGAAACUACGUCUUCAAUACAUGUAUUAUAUGAGUCUGGACAGACAUGGAUGUAACUGCAACUUCAUUGGUUGGCAGAGGCAUAAUAAUAAUAAUAAUAAUAAUAAUAAUAAUAAUAAUACAUUUUAUGUAUAUAGCACUUUUCAAGCAUUAAGGACAAAGUGCUUUCCAUAUUAAAAGAUUUACAGGAUAUUAAUUAGGAAUCAGGAACCCAUGUAAGCCCCCCUCCGCACAAUGACAUACAAAAAUUAGAACAUGAGAUCAUAAAUUUCAAGCAGCAUUUCAAAAAACAGUGAAAGUGCAAGAUGGAAUGUCAAUAACAGAAACAUGUAUGGAAAUGCAUCUAAAAACACUAAUAUGAUAAUACAAAUCAAGCAUGAUUUAAAUACGUAAUGACAGUGAAGUUCAAA